rnacentral:rRNA from 1 species
UACAUGGGGUGCAAACGUUGCUCGGAAUUAUUGGGCGUAAAGCGCACGUAGGUGGUCUGUUAUGUCAGAUGUGAAAGCCCUCGGCUUAACUGAGGAAGUGCACCUGAAACUGGCAGGCUUGAGUACGAAAGAGGGUCGCGGAAUUCCCGGUGUAGAGGUGAAAUUCGUAGAUAUCGGGGGGAACACCGGUGGCGAAGGCGGCGACCUGGUUCGAUACUGACACUGAGGUGCGAAAGCGUGGGGAGCAAACAGG